AACGAACGCUGCGGCAUGCCUAACACAUGCAAGUCGAACGAGAUCUUCGGGUCUAGUGGCGCACGGGUGCGUAACGCGUGGGAAUCUGCCCUUUGGUUCGGAAUAACAGUUGGAAACGACUGCUAAUACCGGAUGAUGACGAAAGUCCAAAGAUUUAUCGCCAGAGGAUGAGCCCGCGUAGGAUUAGCUAGUUGGUGUGGUAAAGGCGCACCAAGGCGACGAUCCUUAGCUGGUCUGAGAGGAUGAUCAGCCACACUGGAACUGAGACACGGCCCAGACUCCUACGGGAGGCAGCAGUGGGGAAUAUUGGACAAUGGGCGAAAGCCUGAUCCAGCAAUGCCGCGUGAGUGAUGAAGGCCUUAGGGUUGUAAAGCUCUUUUACCCGGGAUGAUAAUGACAGUACCGGGAGAAUAAGCUCCGGCUAACUCCGUGCCAGCAGCCGCAGUAA
rnacentral:rRNA from 1 species